ensembl:lncRNA
UAGCUCUUUAUGACCAAGAGCUGAUCAGUACAAAAGACAGCACAUAAUCAAACAAAAGAAUGGUUCACCUCUACUGUCUCCUCUUUCACCUCGUCCUGCUCCGUGUUCAGCUGUCACAGCAGCAAUCCUCAGGUGGCCGAGCGGAGCGCGCGCACACACACACACACACACACACACACACACACACACACACACACACACACACACAGCCCCACUUUAUUCCCCUCACAGGAGUGACGGCGCGGCGGCGGCGGCGUUCGCCACACAUCAGUGAGCACGCCGGGAGGAAGGCAGAAGGCAGACGAGCGGAGCCCUGGGAUGCAUCCUGCCGAAUGUCAGGCCGAUAAUGUCAGGCCGAUAACGGGCGGAAAUAUUUUGCCGUUUGGCAGCAACAUGCGGCGUAGCCAUCAGCGUGUAUUUUAUGACGUGGGACGGGCCAGAUAGAGAGACAAUGCAGAGGUAUGAGAGAUGAGGGAGAGAGGAAGAGGAAGAGGUAUGAGAGAUGAAGGAGAGAGGAAGAGGUAUGAGAGAUGAACGAGAGAGGUAGAGGAAGAGAUGUGAGAGAUGAACGAGUGAGGAAGAGGUAUGAGAGAUGAACGCGAGAGGAAGAGGUAUGAGAGAUGAACGAGAGAGGAAGAGGAAGAGGUAUGAGAGAUGAUGAGAGAGGAAGAGGAAGAGAUGUGAGAGAUGAUGAGAGAGGAAGAGGAAGAGGUAUGAGAGAUGAACGAGAGAGGAAGAGAAAAUCCUCUAAGAGAAGUGUGAGGUACUGGAGGGGGAUAGGGAGUCAAAAGAGAACAAAACGAAUUAUUGAUUAUAAAGAGGGUUGGGAGGAUUUGCUUCUAGUCCCGGCUGAGUUUGGAGUCUCGCUUUUAACUUCAAGAUAGAUGCUGUUGCUGUGGUCUCGCUUUUACUUG